rnacentral:rRNA from 1 species
UACAUGGGGUGCAAACGUUGCUCGGAAUUAUUGGGCAUAAAGCGCACGUAGGCGGUUUGUUAAGUCGGAUGUGAAAUCCCUCGGCUCAACUGAGGAAGUGCAUCCGAAACUAGCAAGCUUGAGUACGAAAGAGGGUCGCGGAAUUCCCGGUGUAGAGGUGAAAUUCGUAGAUAUCGGGAGGAACACCGGUGGCGAAGACGGCGACCUGGGUCGAUACUGACGCUGAGGUGCGAAAGCGUGGGGAGCAAACAGG